GUAAAUCAGCGUCUUUUCCGUAGUGUCUACUGUAGGAUGGAUAUAAAAGUAUAAAACACGUUUUGGUUUGACAACAUCGUUCAUAUGUGAACUAUCACAAUUAAAGCACAAAGACAUAACAACAUUACACCCCGAGACCUUUCACAAGUGCUACAAAAGAGAAGAAACGCUUUCCGGAAAAGUUCAUCAGGCGAGUUGGAGACUAGUCAACUCAUCCAGUUUAGCGGAGAGCAUCAACCCCUAACUGACAUGAAGAAAAAAUCAUUGAAAAGUGUUCAGCGUACAGUGUAUCCCUCUUUGCAACAGAGGAAGCAUUAGGAAAGAGGAGAAGAGAGAAAGUGAAAACAGAUGUUGGAAAAUGCACUGGUAACAACAAAAAAAAGACGACCAAAAAUAUAAUUCAACAGAGGAUGAUGGCUGUGGUGAAACAAGCACUCAAAUAAUGAAACUAAGACCAGUGGGAGUGCUGGAGAAAUCAAGUGUAUAAGUCCUCUGUCGUCUCAGCCAUGGAAGAGAUCUUCAGACAUGAAGAGAUUGAGGAGUUAAAUGAAAUCAAAGAGCUAAAAGAAGAUUUACAAUACUAGUGCCAUUUCAGUAUGAAAACAGAGAGAGAGCUGAGGGAGUGGAAAGAAAUGCAUGUUAUUGUUCAAGGGGUAGUUGCAUGGACUAUCAGUGUAGGAACAGAAAGCUCUGAGAUUUCAUUAUAAAGAUCUUCAUUUGUGUUCUGAAGAUGAACAAAAGACUUGCGGGUUUGGAACGAUAUGAGGGUGAGUUAUUGAUGACAGAAUUUUCAUUUUUGGGUGAACCAACCUUUUAACUUCUGUUACCUGGAGUGUUCAAAGACAUUGUUAAUGCAGACCAAUAUGUCAUCAGAAAUUAAUUGGGAGUAGAAUGAAUACUUUACACAAACACUUGGUGACAUCACAAUUCAAGAUUUAUUUUAAGCAUACUAAAUAUCCCUGUAGUGUAAAGUGUAACUGAAACUUGAGAAUUUCUGAUAGUUUUUGUUUGUUUGUUUUUCCAGACUACAUCCAAAAUAGUGUUUCCACAUCUGAGAUGAAGGCAGUCAUAAGAACUAAGCGGAACGAUGAGGAUAAGCUCUUCAAAAAAUGAAACCUGUCUGAAUAAUGAGGGAAGAAAUGUGCAUGAUUGCGUGAUUUGUAAAUAAACACUAAAUACAUUUAGUGUAACUCUCAGCCUGUUAUUUUAAGUUUAAAGAAAAGUAAAAUAAUUUAUUGUUGCAUUGCUUUUUUAGACAUUCACUGUUGUUUUGUACCUUAAUUUAUUAUAUUGCAGUUGUGUAAAAUAAAACUUGUUAUUCUGAAUAUUCUGGUUGCAUUUCAG